UCUGUUUCUUACGAUGUGCUGCUGCGGUGCGUGGUUGCACGAGCCGAGUUGUUGUGUAUUCAGGGUCAUACCUGCCCGCCUGAAUGACAGAAAUGAAGCAUUUGCUGCUUUCUACUUCAUUUAAACCUGUGGGAGCCCGUAGCGCUCAUCCUCGUGCACCAAGUGACAUUUAGGAGUGCCACCCAGACUUCAAGAUCCCAUCAUACAAGAGUCCAUAAAAAUAUAGAAUGUAAAUAUUUUUAUCACAAAAAUGCCCUGACACAAGCGGUUGUAUAAGUCAGGGCAGAAGAGAAAAAAACCCCCUAUUUAUUUGUUCAUAAUUUUUUUGUUUCAUCUUUGUUCAUCAUGGCAGGGAAUCUGCCAAAUGGCAGAAGGAAAAUCACUUUGAGAGAAAAACACAGUUUCAAACUUCUUCCAAGGACAUACUGAAAACAGAAAUUCUAUAUCAAGCUAGAGAAAAAAGCAGAAGCUUCAGUAUUUCUUGCACAAGGUGUGAAGGGACUGCUGCUCUUCGAAAUGUCUCAGCAGAUUGGAGUCAGGUACCCGACUGAAUGACAUGGGAAGCUGUGCAACACUUUAGAACAGGACAGAAAAGUGAAAUAACCGGGGACACCAGGGCCUGGCUGCAACUACGUGAGUGAAACUUGAAGAGGAAUCUUGCCUGGGAAAUGUGAUAAUGCCCAAAGUGGUCAUGGAGUCAGGAUCUGGUGGUGACGUACCACAAGCUUGACUUUGGAGAACUGUGCUGCCCAAAACCCAGGGUUUCUUUGAAGACAAUAUUUCUCCUUUGUAGGUGCUUUGACGAGCACUCGUUUUGAACCUCAUGAGAAUCAUGUAGUAGAUGCUUGGAGUUAGUAAGACUGUCUAGUUAAUAAGAUCUUUUUUUCUUGAUAUUGCUUUCCCUGCUGAUUAAAUUGGGAUGUAACUA